ACGCCCACAGUUGCCAGCGUACUCUCUGGAGUGACGGGUACACUGUGGGGACCGCCGCUGCUAAAGCGGAGGAAGGAAGUGGGCGAACGGUAGGUCAGUAUGCCCCGAAUAUCCCGGGCUACACGCGAGCUACAAUGGUCAGGACAAUGGGCAUCAACACCGAAAGGUGAAGGCAAUACUCUUAAACCUGUCCUUAGUUCGGAUUGUGGGCUGCAACUCGCCCACAUGAAGCUGGAAUCUGUAGUAAUCGCGUCUCAAAAUGGCGCGGUGAAUAUGUCCCUGCUCCUU
rnacentral:rRNA from 1 species